CAUUAAAUGAGCUGUGCGAUGUUUUAUUACAUUUCUCAUGUGGCUAAGCUUAGUGUGGCUUUUAAGUGUUCCUCGGUAUGCCGUGCUUACGCAAGUUAUUUUCUGCUGUGGAUUGUUGAUGCUGCAGCAGCAGAUAGAGUGAUGUGCCUUGAAUUCCAAUGAGGAGAAGGUUUUGUUUUAUUUUGGGUUUUGAGUUCAGAAGAACCCCAGGAGGAUCUGGACAGGAGACCCCAAGAUGGACUUCAGUGCCAGAGAUAGGAGCCAUUGGGAUGCCUUUCCAGCAGCUAUUGGCUAGAAAUAGUCAGAACCAGAUCCAUCAUGUGCCUGCAAAUUUAUCUAUGCCAAGGAUCCAAGUUUCUGAACAGCGUGGACUUUGGGGAAUUUUUUCCCUUUGAACAUCCCAGUCAGACAUAGCCUGGUCCUAAACACUUCUCAGGUAUGAAUAUGCUGAACUCGGUGUCUGAACAAUUCUAUCAUCAUGAAUUUACUUCUUAAUGCUCUUUCAAGAUGAUUACUUUGCAAUAGGCAUGCCAAGUCCUACAAUACUUGGCCAGCAAAAAUUUCCAAUCACAAUCUGAGGGCUUGUGACUAAUUUUCUGUUGAAACAGAAAAUAAAAAGAGAUGCUUUUAAAUGAAGCAGAUUAGAAUUAGAAAUUAAUCUGUCUUCCCUACUAACCCUAAAUCUUCAGAGGAAGAAUAGCAUCUUAAUUUGCUCCAUAACUAUGCGAUGGUAUUUUGAGUACCUUCUUUGUCAGGGUCUUAGCAGCACUGAUCCCUCUGUGUCUUUCUCAUGCAAUGGGAGCCAGUCACAUUCUGUAGCAAAAGUAAUACAGUAGGGAUGUCCACAGGAGGUGAGGAGUGGGAUGGAAUUAUUCCCAUGUGUUUUAGACUGUUUAUCAAACUUACUGGUCUGAUGUACAGGAGAAAUGAUGUUCCUAAGAUACAUGUAAACCCUGUCUUUAAAGGCAAAAGCAAAUGCUUAGAAUUUGUGGAGAAGCACUGUUAAAAAAAAUAAAAAUAAAAUUACAAAACUGAAAAAGUAAUUUCAAAUUUGAGAUGAUAUACUGCACAUUGAGAGCAAGAGAUGCUAAGAAAACAAAAGGCUUAAUUUGAAAUACAUUAAUUUUUCCACAGUCUGCAUUAUUCUCUGUCAAAUAUACUGGGAACACAAAUCUGCAUCUGCAUUGAUUGGAUGAAUUUCAAAGACCUUUUACCUGCUCUCUGU
rnacentral:lncRNA from 1 species